AGAGUUUGAUCCUGGCUCAGAAUCAACGCUGGCGGCGCGCUUAACACAUGCAAGUCGAACGAGAAAGUGGAGCAAUCCAUGAGUACAGUGGCGCACUGGUGAGUAACACGUGGGUAAUUUACCUCUUUGUGGGGAAUAACCCUGGGAAACCGGGGAUAAUACCGCAUACGUCCGAGAGGAGAAAGCCGAAAGGCGCAGAGAGAGAAGCCCGCGCCCGAUUAGCUAGUUGGUGAGGUAAAAGCCCACCAAGGCGACGAUCGGUAGCCGGCCUGAGAGGGCACACGGCCACACUGGCACUGAAACACGGGCCAGACUCCUACGGGAGGCAGCAGUGGGGAAUCUUGCACAAUGGGGGAAACCCUGAUGCAGCGACGCCGCGUGAACGAUGAAGCCCUUCGGGGUGUAAAGUUCUUUCGACAGGAACGAUAAUGACGGUACCUGAAGAAGAG
rnacentral:rRNA from 1 species